CACUAGCCCCGAUUGCAACGGCAUCCUUUUUUGUUUUUGGUGCAAAUUUUAAAUUUAGAUGACAAAACUUCUAAAAACAAAAAAGAUAUAGUGGAAAGCGGGAUUUAGC
rnacentral:sRNA from 1 species